AUGCGCUCGCUGGGCCUUCCUCCCCCUCCUCCUCCUCCUCCUCCUCCUCGGGCCGCAGUGCUGUUCCCGGGCACUUCCUGCACAGCGCUGUCCGUGGGUGGGGAGGGCCGUGGAGCGAUGAGCGAUGCCAGCACUAAAAUAACCCUCUGGCCGCGCUCCCGCGUCCACGCGCGGCCCCUGAGGCAGAGGAAGAGGGGGAGGAAGGAAGUGAGGCCGCCUGACACAAAUAACUCCCGGCCCCUCAGCAGCUCCCCCGGACCGGCCUCCCCUGCUCCCGUCCCGGCCGGCCUGGAGGGGCUGGGCCGCCUUCGGGGCCGGUGUCCCCUGGGCUCGGUGUCCCUCAGGGCUCGGUGUCCCUCAGGGCUCGGUGUCCCUCAGGGGCUCGGUGUCCCUCAGGGGCUCGGUGUUGCCCUCAGGGGUUCGGUGUCCCUCAGGGGCUCGGUGUCCCGUCAGGGCUCGGUGUCCCCCCAGGGCUCGGUGUCCCUCAGAACUCGGUGUCGCCCUCAGGGGCUCGGUGUCCCCCCAGAUGGGACACCCCAGAGCUCGGUGUCCCUCAGAACUCGGUGUUGCUCUCAGGGGUUCGGUGUCCCGUCAGGGCUCGGUGUCCCCCCAGGCCUCGGUGUCCCUCAGGGGCUCGGUGUUCCGUCAGGGGCUCGGUGUCCCUCAGGGGCUUGGUGUCCCCCCAGGGUUCGGUGUCCCCCACGGUCUCCGUGUCCCCCCAGGGCUCGGUGCCGUCCCUGCGCUCGGAGCGCCCCCGGCCCCCAUCCCGCCCCACCACCCGGGGGCGCCCCGGCGCGCCGCCCCCACCGCUCCACGCACUACACCUCCCGCCGCACCCCGCGCGACAGGAAGCGAGGAAGCGGCGUCGCCGCGAGGCGCCUCUGGGAGUUGUAG
rnacentral:lncRNA from 1 species